GAUGAACGCUGGCGGCGUGCCUAAUACAUGCAAGUCGAGCGAACGGACGAGAAGCUUGCUUCUCUGAUGUUAGCGGCGGACGGGUGAGUAACACGUGGAUAACCUACCUAUAAGACUGGGAUAACUUCGGGAAACCGGAGCUAAUACCGGAUAAUAUUUUGAACCGCAUGGUUCAAAAGUGAAAGACGGUCUUGCUGUCACUUAUAGAUGGAUCCGCGCUGCAUUAGCUAGUUGGUAAGGUAACGGCUUACCAAGGCAACGAUGCAUAGCCGACCUGAGAGGGUGAUCGGCCACACUGGAACUGAGACACGGUCCAGACUCCUACGGGAGGCAGCAGUAGGGAAUCUUCCGCAAUGGGCGAAAGCCUGACGGAGCAACGCCGCGUGAGUGAUGAAGGUCUUCGGAUCGUAAAACUCUGUUAUUAGGGAAGAACAUAUGUGUAAGUAACUGUGCACAUCUUGACGGUACCUAAUCAGAAAGCCACGGCUAACUACGUGCCAGCAGCCGCGGUAAUACGUAGGUGGCAAGCGUUAUCCGGAAUUAUUGGGCGUAAAGCGCGCGUAGGCGGUUUUUUAAGUCUGAUGUGAAAGCCCACGGCUCAACCGUGGAGGGUCAUUGGAAACUGGAAAACUUGAGUGCAGAAGAGGAAAGUGGAAUUCCAUGUGUAGCGGUGAAAUGCGCAGAGAUAUGGAGGAACACCAGUGGCGAAGGCGACUUUCUGGUCUGUAACUGACGCUGAUGUGCGAAAGCGUGGGGAUCAAACAGGAUUAGAUACCCUGGUAGUCCACGCCGUAAACGAUGAGUGCUAAGUGUUAGGGGGUUUCCGCCCCUUAGUGCUGCAGCUAACGCAUUAAGCACUCCGCCUGGGGAGUACGACCGCAAGGUUGAAACUCAAAGGAAUUGACGGGGACCCGCACAAGCGGUGGAGCAUGUGGUUUAAUUCGAAGCAACGCGAAGAACCUUACCAAAUCUUGACAUCCUUUGACAACUCUAGAGAUAGAGCCUUCCCCUUCGGGGGACAAAGUGACAGGUGGUGCAUGGUUGUCGUCAGCUCGUGUCGUGAGAUGUUGGGUUAAGUCCCGCAACGAGCGCAACCCUUAAGCUUAGUUGCCAUCAUUAAGUUGGGCACUCUAAGUUGACUGCCGGUGACAAACCGGAGGAAGGUGGGGAUGACGUCAAAUCAUCAUGCCCCUUAUGAUUUGGGCUACACACGUGCUACAAUGGACAAUACAAAGGGCAGCGAAACCGCGAGGUCAAGCAAAUCCCAUAAAGUUGUUCUCAGUUCGGAUUGUAGUCUGCAACUCGACUACAUGAAGCUGGAAUCGCUAGUAAUCGUAGAUCAGCAUGCUACGGUGAAUACGUUCCCGGGCCU
rnacentral:rRNA from 1 species